AGCAGCCGCGGUAAUUCCAGCUCCAAUAGCGUAUAUUAAAGUUGCUGCAGUUAAAAAGCUCGUAGUUGAAUUUCGGGACUAAUAUGUCGGUCGUGCCUCGGUACGUACUGGUAUUUUUGGUUUCUCCCUUCUGACGAACCUUGAUGUCAUUAAUUUGGUGUCUUGGGAAAUCAGGACUGUUACUUUGAAAAAAUUAGAGUGUUUAAAGCAGGCUCACGCUUGAAUACAUUAGCAUGGAAUAAUGAAAUAGGACGUUUGAUUCUAUUUUGUUGGUUUCUAGGAUUGACGUAAUGAUUAAUAGGGAUAGUUGGGGGCAUUAGUAUUCAAUUGUCAGAGGUGAAAUUCUUGGAUUUAUUGAAGACUAACUACUGCGAAAGCAUUUGCCAAGGAUGUUUUCAUUAAUCAAGAACGAAAGUUAGGGGAUCGAAGACGAUCAGAUACCGUCGUAGUCUUAACCAUAAACUAUGCCGACUAGGGAUCGGAUGAUGUUAAUUUUUAAUGACUCAUUCGGCGCCUUACG
rnacentral:rRNA from 1 species